CUGCUCUCCAAGACAGUGGAGUGACUGUGUCUGCUGCAACCCUGCUAUCCUGAGCUCAGCCAGUGUUCCCAGGCCUUUCCUCUCCGCUGGGUACCGGGAGCCCCGGGUACCUGCUGUCCCCUCUCAGACUCUUAGGAAUUCUGUGGAACAAGCUUUCUUCUACAUCAGCUCUUAACUUUGGUUCCUGGCACGCUAUCCACCUGCUGAGGCUCAGCCCACUGAAGUGCUGCACACAAAGCAGAUGUCCUGGGGGGCAAGUUUACAGCCUGCAAGCGACUGGAAGCUCUUCUGAGGUACGUUGGCAGUUCCACUGAGCAGUACUGAGAGCAGCCCUUUGUUAUUUCUCUGCCUUCUGCAUCUGCUUUCUCUCUGGGCCUGUCACAGAAAUACAGGAGUUCCUGGAUAGCAAGAAACCUGGAUAAGAUGUUGAUUCUAGAAGAUCUAAGGUGAUUAUAAGUAUUACACACCAGUAUUUCACAGUGUGACAUUCUCAAACAACAAUCUAAUGCCUACAGAGCUUCAUGCUGACACAAGCAAAAAGAAGGACAGACUUCCACCUAAAUGAGAGGAUGGCCCAUCUGCACUUUAUCCUAGCCAAGGAAACUGCUUUUGCAAGUUAAAUUGUCCUGUCUGGUCAGAGGCACUGCCCAGAGUGUGGCUCCCUUUCCUACCUUGCACCUGGAGUCAAA